AAGUUGUAACAAGGUCUCUGUUGGUGAACUAGCGGAGGGAUCAUUAUAGAGUUGCAAAACUCCUAUCACCAUUGCGAACUUACUUUACAACCGUUGCUUUGGCAGGCGGCUCUAGGCUUCUGUUUUCACAGAUCCUUGGGGCCCUAUGGCCUGAUUGUCAGGUGCCUGCCGGAGGUUAUGCAACUAGAUAUUGUUUAUGGCCUGUUAGAAUUUGUACUACCAAUUAGUUAAAACUUUCAACAACGGAUCUCUUGGUUCUA
rnacentral:misc_RNA from 1 species